rnacentral:rRNA from 1 species
GUUGAUUCUGCGGGAGGUUGCUGCUAUCUGGUUGGGACUUAGCCAUGCAAGUUUGUUCAGAAUGGACGGCGAACUGCUUAGUAACACUUCGAUAAUCUACCCUUAAGUUUGGGAUAACCUUGGGAAACUGAGGCUAAACCCUAAUAUGAGAUUUAUACUGGAAUGUUUUAUCUCUGAAAGGUAACGCUUAAGGAUGAGUCGGUGGCCGAUUAGGUUGUUGGUGGUGUAAUGGACCACCAAGCCUUUGAUCGGUAGGGGCCUUGAGAGAGGGAGCCCCAAGAAGGGUACUGAGACACAGAUCCUAGCCCUACGGGGUGCAGCAGGCGCGAAACCUUCACAAUGCACGAAAGUGUGAUGAGGCCAGCCAGAGUGCUUAUGUUUUGCAUAAGCUUUUGCCAAGAGUAAAUAUCUUGGCGAAUAAGUGGUGGGCAAGACUGGUGCCAGCCGCCGCGGUAACACCAGCGCCACAAGUGGGAGCCACUUUUAUUGGGUCUAAAGCAUCCGUAGCCGGUUUGAUAAAUUCUUUGUGAAACUGUUAAGCUCAACUUAACAACGCGCAGAGAAAACUGUCAGGCUUGGGACUGGGAGGGGUAAGAGGUAUUUUUAGGGGAGCGGUAAAAUGCUAUAAUCCUGAGAGGACCGCCAGUGGCGAAGGCGUCUUACCAGAACAGGUCCGACGGUGAGGGAUGAAAGCUAGGGGAGCAAAACGGAUUAGAUACCCGAGUAGUCCUAGCUGUAAACGCUGUGAGCUAGAUGUUGCAUAUCCUUGAGGAUGUGCAGCAUCGAAAUGAAGAUGUAAGCUCACCACCUGGGGAGUAUGGUCGCAAGGCUGAAACUUAAAGAAAUUGGCGGGGGAACGCCACAACGAGUGCGGCGUGCGGUUUAAUCUAAUUCAACGCAGAAAACCUCACCAGAAGCGACGGCAGAAUGAAGGUCAGCCUAAUGGGCUUACCCAACAAGCCGAGAGGUAUUGCAUGGCCGCCGUCAGCUAGUGCUGUGAAGUGUCCUCUUAAGUGAGGUAACUAGCGAGACCUACGCCUACAAUUGCUAACAGACUUAGUGACUGAGCACAUUGUAGGAACUGCCUUGGAAACAAGGAGGAAGGUGUAGGCUACGGUAGGUCUGUAUGGUCCGAAUCUUCUGGGCUACACGCGCGCAACAAUGGUAAGGACAAUGGGAUGCAACUCCGAAAGGAGAAGCUAAACCUCUAAACCUUAUCCCAGUCCAAAUUGAGGCUUGCAACUCAGCCUCAUGACGCCGGAAUUCGUAGUAAUCAGGCUUAAGCAUAGCCCGGUGAAUAUGUCCCCGCUCCUUGCACACACCGCCCGUCAUCCCAGCCGAGCAGGGUUUAGGUGAGACUUGGUUUUUUGACCAAAGCGAAUCUAAGUUCAGUGAGGAGGGGCAAGUCGUCGCAAGGUA